rnacentral:rRNA from 1 species
UACGAAGGGGGCUAGCGUUGCUCGGAAUCACUGGGCGUAAAGGGUGCGUAGGCGGGUUUCUAAGUCAGGGGUGAAAUCCUGGAGCUCAACUCCAGAACUGCCCUUGAUACUGGAAGCCUUGAGUAUGGGAGAGGUGAGUAGAACUGCGAGUGUAGAGGUGAAAUUCGUAGAUAUUCGCAAGAACACCAGUGGCGAAGGCGGCUCACUGGCCCAUAACUGACGCUGAGGCACGAAAGCGUGGGGAGCAAACAGG